rnacentral:rRNA from 1 species
CCGUAGGUGAACCUGCGGAAGGAUCAUUACCGAGUGCGGGUCCUUUGGCCCAACCUCCCAUCCGUGUCUAUUGUACCCUGUUGCUUCGGCGGGCCCGCCGCUUGUCGGCCGCCGGGGGGGCGCCUCUGCCCCCCGGGCCCGUGCCCGCCGGAGACCCCAACACGAACACUGUCUGAAAGCGUGCAGUCUGAGUUGAUUGAAUGCAAUCAGUUAAAACUUUCAACAAUGGAUCUCUUGGUUCCGGCAUCGAUGAAGAACGCAGCGAAAUGCGAUAACUAAUGUGAAUUGCAGAAUUCAGUGAAUCAUCGAGUCUUUGAACGCACAUUGCGCCCCCUGGUAUUCCGGGGGGCAUGCCUGUCCGAGCGUCAUUGCUGCCCUCAAGCCCGGCUUGUGUGUUGGGUCGCCGUCCCCCUCUCCGGGGGGACGGGCCCGAAAGGCAGCGGCGGCACCGCGUCCGAUCCUCGAGCGUAUGGGGCUUUGUCACAUGCUCUGUAGGAUUGGCCGGCGCCUGCCGACGUUUUCCAACCAUUCUUUCCAGGUUGACCUCGGAUCAGGU